rnacentral:rRNA from 1 species
GACGAACGCUGGCGGCGUGCCUAAUACAUGCAAGUUGAGCGCUGAAGGUUGGUACUUGUACCAACUGGAUGAGCAGCGAAUGGGUGAGUAACGCGUGGGGAAUCUGCCUUUGAGCGGGGGACAACAUUUGGAAACGAAUGCUAAUACCGCAUAAAAACUUUAAACACAAGUUUUAAGUUUGAAAGAUGCAAUUGCAUCACUCAAAGAUGAUCCCGCGUUGUAUUAGCUAGUUGGUGAGGUAAAGGCUCACCAAGGCGAUGAUACAUAGCCGACCUGAGAGGGUGAUCGGCCACAUUGGGACUGAGACACGGCCCAAACUCCUACGGGAGGCAGCAGUAGGGAAUCUUCGGCAAUGGACGAAAGUCUGACCGAGCAACGCCGCGUGAGUGAAGAAGGGUUUCGGAUCGUAAAACUCUGUUGGUAGAGAAGAACGUUGGUGAGAGUGGAAAGCUCAUCAAGUGACGGUAACUACCCAGAAAGGGACGGCUAACUACGUG